GUGGGACGAUCCAUAUAGGACAAUCUAUUUUGGGCAAGUUCGUAACAGAUAGUUUUCAGUCUAUUUUUUGUAUAUUUAAUGCACAUUAAACACUCUCCAAUGGCUCUAAACCAAUACUAAGACAUUCUCAAGUGUAAAUGGUAAUUAUAUAUGCUAUAUUGAAGUAGAAAAUUACAAGUUUGCAAGCAUUCAAAGCUCACAU
rnacentral:lncRNA from 1 species